rnacentral:rRNA from 1 species
UACGGAGGGGGGCUAGCGUUGUUCGGAAUUACUGGGCGUAAAGCGCACGUAGGCGGCUUUGUAAGUUAGAGGUGAAAGCCCGGGGCUCAACUCCGGAAUUGUCUUUAAGACUGCAUCGCUAGAAUUGUGGAGAGGUAAGUGGAAUUUCCGAGUGUAGAGGUGAAAUUUCGUAGAUAUUUCGGAAGAACACCAGUGGCGAAGGCGACUUACUGGACACAUAUUGACGCUGAGG